rnacentral:misc_RNA from 1 species
UAAUAAAGUGUUUUAUGGCACUUUUUAAAUCCAUAUCCACCUUGUGUGCAAUGUCAGUCGAUCUUCUUCAUGGAGAUCGGCCAAACAUCAACCUUAUCUUUUAACUCUUUGUCUGAAAAAUAUUAUGAAUAAACAAUUCAAAAUA